AUACGUAGGGGGCGAGCGUUGUCCGGAAUGAUUGGGCGUAAAGGGCGCGUAGGCGGCCCGGUAAGUCUGGAGUGAAAGUCCUGCUUUUAAGGUGGGAAUUGCUUUGGAUACUGUCGGGCUUGAGUGCAGGAGAGGUAAGUGGAAUUCCCAGUGUAGCGGUGAAAUGCGUAGAGAUUGGGAGGAACACCAGUGGCGAAGGCGACUUAGUGGACUGUAACUGACGCUGAGGCGCGAAUGGGUGGGGAGCAAACAGGAAUAGAUACCCUGGUAGUCCACGCUAUAAACGAUGAGUGCUAGGUGUCGGGGGUCAAUCCUCGGUGCCGCAGUUAACACAUUAAGCUCUCCGCCUGGGGAGUACGGUCGCAAGGCUAAAACUUAAAGGAAUUGGCGGGG
rnacentral:rRNA from 1 species